UACGUAGGGGGCAAGCGUUGUCCGGAUUUAUUGGGCGUAAAGAGCGUGUAGGCGGCCAUACAGGUCAGCUGUGAAAACUCGAGGCUCAACCUCGAGACGUCGGUUGAAACCGUAUGGCUAGAGUCCGGAAGAGGAGAGUGGAAUUCCCGGGUGUAGCGGUGAAAUGCGCAGAUAUCGGGAAGAACACCCGUGGCGAAGGCGGCUCUCUGGGACGGUACUGACGCUGAGACGCGAAAGCGUGGGGAGCGAACAGG
rnacentral:rRNA from 1 species